GGCGGUCAGUUCAGACCCCGGAAUCAUCAGGACGACGUGGAUCCGACGCAGAGGCUGGAUGGUGACCCCAAACUGACCUCCUAGUGAAGACGGUGAUGGAGGAAGAGGAGGAGGGAGCAGAGGGGAGCAGGUGGUCCCAAGAAGAGCCUCCGUGUUUCAACAGUGACCCUGAGCCUCCAAAAGGUCAGAGGUCACAGUCUCCAGUAACAUGCUAUCUGUCCAUGAGGAGUCAUGAAGAACCUCCAUGUUUCAGCAGUGAUCCUGAACC